rnacentral:rRNA from 1 species
UACCAGCACCCCGAGUGGUCGGGACGUUUAUUGGGCGUAAAGAGCUCGUAGGCGGUUCGUCACGUCGGCUGUGAAAACCUGGGGCUCAACUCCGGGCCUGCAGCCGAUACGGGCGAACUAGAAUUCGGUAGGGGAGACUGGAAUUCCUGGUGUAGCGGUGAAAUGCGCAGAUAUCAGGAGGAACACCGGCGGCGAAGGCGGGUCUCUGGGCCAUAACUGACGCUGAGGAGCGAAAGCGUGGGGAGCAAACAGG